rnacentral:rRNA from 1 species
UACGAAGGGGGCUAGCGUUGUUCGGAAUCACUGGGCGUAAAGCGCACGUAGGCGGAUUUUUAAGUCAGGGGUGAAAUCCCGAGGCUCAACCUCGGAACUGCCUUUGAUACUGGAGAUCUUGAGUCCGGAAGAGGUAAGUGGAACUGCGAGUGUAGAGGUGAAAUUCGUAGAUAUUAGGAAGAACACCAGUGGCGAAGGCGGCUCACUGGUCCGGUACUGACGCUGGAGGUGACGAAAGCGGUGGGGAGCAAACAGGGAUUAAGAAACCCC